GCAGGCUUGAGUCUUGUAGAGGGGGGUAGAAUUCCAGGUGUAGCGGUGAAAUGCGUAGAGAUCUGGAGGAAUACCGGUGGCGAAGGCGGCCCCCUGGACAAAGACUGACGCUCAGGUGCGAAAGCGUGGGGAGCAAACAGGAUUAGAUACCCUGGUAGUCCACGCCGUAAACGAUGUCUACUUGGAGGUUGUGCCCUUGAGGCGUGGCUUCCGGAGCUAACGCGUUAAGUAGACCGCCUGGGGAGUACGGCCGCAAGGUUAAAACUCAAAUGAAUUGACGGGGGCCCGCACAAGCGGUGGAGCAUGUGGUUUAAUUCGAUGCAACGCGAAGAACCUUACCUGGUCUUGACAUCCACAGAAGAAUCCAGAGAUGGAUUUGUGCCUUCGGGAACUGUGAGACAGGUGCUGCAUGGCUGUCGUCAGCUCGUGUUGUGAAAUGUUGGGUUAAGUCCCGCAACGAGCGCAACCC
rnacentral:rRNA from 1 species